rnacentral:tRNA from 1 species
GGGUCAGGUGGAGGGGCUCGUCCGGGUUCAGGCCCCGGGCCAGCGCCCGCGCCACGGCCACCCGCUGGAUCCUCACCAGCUCGGCCAUC